rnacentral:pre_miRNA from 1 species
AGGAGGAACAGCCCCAGUGGCGGGGCAGCUCUGGAAACCUGGAUUCAGCCCCCGCAGGAACUCCGGAGCUCUCCGUCUGUAGGGCCUGGAGGCACGGGGCGGG